GGGAAUGUUACAUUAUGGAGAUAAGCCGUCUUUUUUAAAGUGAAAAAUAGUAAUCUUACAUAUGUUUAAUGUAGUUUUUCCAUUUUUUAUGCUGUAUGUUUACAUAUUUUUUACAAUUUUCGAAAAUAAGUAAUAUUAAAAUGUAAAACUACAUUUUAUGCCACGUGUCAUCUUUCGGGAGAAAUUUUUUCCGCUGAUGUGGACGCCCUAUGGAGCCUCAAAA
rnacentral:lncRNA from 1 species